CCGCUGAUAACGCCCCAAUUCCACCUGGAGCACAAAGCAACCAGUCACCUGAAAGACUAGAAGGAAAUGACUAACUAUGAGUCUGACUGUGCAGAGGGAUGGCCAAGGAUAAAGAAAGACAAAGGGGAAUAAGACAGAAAGACAGAGAGAAAUAUGAGUCACGUUUAAGAGUGUUGGCAGAGUGGAAACAGAAGUACGAGGGUCAGGAAAGAAGGACAUACAGCGAAAUUUCAGGCGGCAACGGAGCAAUCCCAGAAGUGGAAGGUCGUGGACAUAGACUACGAGUCCAGAGAACAGCGACUCAAAUCGGACUUGAGUACUGGACUCGGACAUGAGUACUCCAUCACUGGACCCUACAUGAAACGGUUACAGACUAAAUAGAUAUCAAGAUCUUAAAUAUGUACUUUUUUUUAUAACCUAUUCGAUAUAAGUAAGUAUAGUAGUCAGAAACUUCAUCCAACUUCCGAGUCCAAGUCAUCAGUGUGUGAGUCCAAGUCGAGUCAUGAGUCCAGAGAAUAGCAUCUUGAGUCGGACUCGAGUACUCCAUCACUGAUUGACUUUACUGCCAUUAUGAGUACAUAGAACGAAAUUAAAGGUGCUACUCUAUGGUGCAAACAUACAGUGGCUUGCAUACGUUUACACACCCAUGCUAAAGUUGACUAAAAAGACGAAUAAA